AUCCUUUCUUCCUCCUCUACACUGCACGGAAAUCCUGCCAAGUCGUCAAGUGGAUACUCGACAUACUGAUCAUCGUCCAUCAAGUUUGGUACAUUGGGUCCAUAAGGAUGGCCAUUGGAUAAUUCGAAACUAAUCAUAUCUGAAGACGACAAGUCUGUGUCAUUACUCGUGCUCUGAUCCUGAGAUUGGGAUUGAUGAUCUCCAGAAGGAAGAUCGGGAGGAACCUCUGUCCGGCUCAUAGAUCUUUUUGAACGGAGUUCUUUAAUAGCACCUUCUGUACUAUUAGUUGGUAUAUCUCUUGACGUUGUGGAGGAACCAUGGUUAGGGCCCG
rnacentral:misc_RNA from 1 species